CACGUAGGGUGCGAGCGUUGUCCGGAAUUAUUGGGCGUAAAGAGCUCGUAGGCGGUGUGUCGCGUCGGCCGUGAAAACCUGCAGCUUAACUGUGGGCUUGCGGUCGAUACGGGCAUCACUGGAGUUCGGCAGGGGAGACUGGAAUUCCUGGUGUAGCGGUGAAAUACGCAGAUAUCAGGAGGAACACCGAUGGCGAAGGCAGGUCUCUGGGCCACUACUGACGCUGAGAAGCGAAAGCAUGGGGAGCGAACAGG
rnacentral:rRNA from 1 species